UAACUAGCGUUGAAAAGGAAAGUAUGUUUUAGGAAAGUUUAAAGAGACCUCGGAUGGUGUGAAAGAGGAACUGGAAAGAAGCAGAAAAUGGCCUUUGAGCAUAAAAAAGUGAGCAAGUAGUUGUAAACUUUUUUCGGGAGUUCCCGUUACCGGACAACAGUAUUCAGAGACUUUUCUUGCGUACUGGGUGAGGCUAUUGUUUUGAGACAAUAGCGAAUAAAGGUGGUAACACGAUUAAUGCUUUCGUCCUUUGU
rnacentral:ncRNA from 1 species